rnacentral:tRNA from 1 species
GGCGCAGUGGCUUAUUGGUAAAGCGCAUGUAUAGUAAACAGGAGAUCGGUGGUUCGAUCUCGCCCGGUGUCU